UGGACGAACGCUGGCGGCGUGCUUAACACAUGCAAGUCGAACGGAAAGGCCCUGCUUUUGUGGGGUGCUCGAGUGGCGAACGGGUGAGUAACACGUGAGUAACCUGCCCUUGACUUUGGGAUAACUUCAGGAAACUGGGGCUAAUACCGGAUAGGAGCUCCUGCUGCAUGGUGGGGGUUGGAAAGUUUCGGCGGUUGGGGAUGGACUCGCGGCUUAUCAGCUUGUUGGUGGGGUAGUGGCUUACCAAGGCUUUGACGGGUAGCCGGCCUGAGAGGGUGACCGGCCACAUUGGGACUGAGAUACGGCCCAGACUCCUACGGGAGGCAGCAGUGGGGAAUAUUGCACAAUGGGCGGAAGCCUGAUGCAGCAACGCCGCGUGCGGGAUGACGGCCUUCGGGUUGUAAACCGCUUUCGCCUGUGACGAAGCGUGAGUGACGGUAAUGGGUAAAGAAGCACCGGCUAACUACGUGCCAGCAGCCGCGGUGAUACGUAGGGUGCGAGCGUUGUCCGGAUUUAUUGGGCGUAAAGGGCUCGUAGGUGGUUGAUCGCGUCGGAAGUGUAAUCUUGGGGCUUAACCCUGAGCGUGCUUUCGAUACGGGUUGACUUGAGGAAGGUAGGGGAGAAUGGAAUUCCUGGUGGAGCGGUGGAAUGCGCAGAUAUCAGGAGGAACACCAGUGGCGAAGGCGGUUCUCUGGGCCUUUCCUGACGCUGAGGAGCGAAAGCGUGGGGAGCGAACAGGCUUAGAUACCCUGGUAGUCCACGCUGUAAACGGUGGGUACUAGGUGUGGGGUCCAUUCCACGGGUUCCGUGCCGUAGCUAACGCUUUAAGUACCCCGCCUGGGGAGUACGGCCGCAAGGCUAAAACUCAAAGGAAUUGACGGGGCCCCGCACAAGCGGCGGAGCAUGCGGAUUAAUUCGAUGCAACGCGUAGAACCUUACCUGGGUUUGACAUGGAUCGGGAGUGCUCAGAGAUGGGUGUGCCUCUUUUGGGGUCGGUUCACAGGUGGUGCAUGGCUGUCGUCAGCUCGUGUCGUGAGAUGUUGGGUUAAGUCCCGCAACGAGCGCAACCCUUGUUCACUGUUGCCAGCACGUUAUGGUGGGGACUCAGUGGAGACCGCCGGGGUCAACUCGGAGGAAGGUGGGGAUGACGUCAAGUCAUCAUGCCCCUUAUGUCCAGGGCUUCACGCAUGCUACAAUGGCUGGCACAGAGAGUGGCGAGCCUGUGAGGGUGAGCGAAUCUCGGAAAGCCGGUCUCAGUUCGGAUUGGGGUCUGCAACUCGACCUCAUGAAGUCGGAGUCGCUAGUAAUCGCAGAUCAGCAACGCUGCGGUGAAUACGUUCCCGGGGCUUGUACACACCGCCCGUCAAGUCAUGAAAGUUGGUAACACCCGAAGCCGGUGGCCUAACCGUUGUGGGGGAGCCGUCGAAGGUGGGACUG
rnacentral:rRNA from 1 species